GGGCUAGCUAAAUUACCCAGGCCUGCUUGUAAUUUGAGAUCCUCUUGCCUCAGCCUCCCAGGUACCUGGGAUUAUAGAUACACACGAGCUGCUUUGUUGUUCUUUUUAAAAAUGUGUAUUAGUACAUGUUCACAAUACCUACUGAGGUUACACAUCCAUAACACAUCUUAAUUCUUGUAACUUUCCCUUCCCCUUCUUUCCCCCACUUUUUUUGAGUCUGGUCUUUUUAUGUAGUCCAGGGGACUGGUCUUGAACUCACCAUAGAACCAAGGCUGGCCUCGAACUCAGUCUCCUGCCUCAGCCUCCCAAGUGCUUGGAUUAGAGGUGUGCACCACCACACCCAGUCAUCUUGAACAACUUAGUGGGACACGGCUCUGAACCAUUUUGUUAUACUAGGUCUGUGACAGCCUUCGAGGGGAUUCAGAGGAACUGGAAAAGAACGAUCUCCUGGAGCUCACCGUGGAAAGGAGGAAAUGAAACAGUCCUUGUACGAGAUACCCAGUGGUCCAGGAUUCAAGGUGCCGAGCAGGCCGGAUGCCCCAGAUAAGUUCUCCCUUCAGCAAGCCCCGUCCUUGGCCAGGCAGCCAUACCCCAACUCCUGCCUCCACCGUCAGCAGCUGCCCCUGCUGCCUCCGUUUCAAGGAACUGGGGCAUAAGAGAGCUUUAGUGGCCUCAGCAUGAGCGGAGACAUCACCAGCUGCCAGAGAGAAUGACGUCAAAUACAGGCC
rnacentral:lncRNA from 1 species